GCCUUAGACUCUCAACCAGGAUAAUGAAACCCUAUUCUGGAAGAACAAUGCUGUAGAUAUAACCAUUAUAGUAGUGAAAUAAUUCCAGAAAAUAUAAAUGAGGAUGCGAUGUGGUUGUCAUUACCAAAUGCUGAAGAAUGUAGUGGUAAUGUAAAAGAAGCUCAAGCUCAAAGAAAUACAUUAUGCAAU